UUUUUUUUUUUUUUUUUUCAUUUAAAAUAAGUGUCAAGUGUGAGUUAAAUAGGCUGGAAAUCUGAAAUUAAUUCCUAGUUUUUCCCCCCUCCACCCUUCAGGUCAUCCAGCUGGUCACUUAGCUGGCUCUUCUAUACAUACCUUUCAUUUGCUUCUAUCUGCUAUAGAGUAUUUUAAAUGCAGGAUUAUUUAGCUCUUUUCUAAAUUAUGUAGUCUGUUGUACUCUUCAUGGAAUCCACCCCAAACUAUUCUUUUUUUUUUUUUUAUUAAAUUUAACUCUCCAGACGUUCUCCAUCAUUUACAGAAUAUUGUGCAGUUCCUUCAUAGUAUAUGCAGUCCAUUAUCUUUCCUAACUUAUAUCUUAUUUCACAACUCACAUUCUGUCUGUUCCCCAAAACACAAACCCUCUUCCCACAUUAUUAUUAUUAUUAUCACCUUCCAGCAGUUCAUCAUAUUUUGUCUGGAGCAGCUGGAUUUUUCUGGAUGCAUUACAGCUUAGAAAUUAAGCACAUGGGCUCUAGAACUAGACCAGCAGUCAGUAAACUAUAACCUGCAUGCCAAAUAUUCCCCACCAUCUCUUUUCAUAAAUAAACUUUAACUGGAAUGCAGGAAUGAAGAUGCCAGGCAAAAAAAGAGUAUAUGUCAUAUGGUUCCAUUUAUAUAAAUCUAAAAAAUUCAAACUAAUCUGUAGUGACAAUGCAGAUUAUUGAUUGCUUAGGAGGGACAUGAGGAAGGGAUGGCAAAAUGGGGAAGCUUUACAAGGUGAUGAAUAUGGUCCUUAUUCUGAUUGUGUUGAUAAUCUUAUGGACCUUUUUGUAUGUCAGAACUUAUCAAAUCAUUCACCUAAAAUAUGUGCAGUUUAUUAUAUAUCAUUAUGCCUCAAUUCAAAAGAAAAUAUUGUGAGUGACAUUCAGCAUCAGGUUUUCCAUAGUUUCAACCUCACUUAGCCUGAAGAGUUACUGCAUCUUGAUAGGCCAUUGAAGUGCUUUCCCAGAGUCUUAGUCUCCUACUAUUACUAGUUUUAAGAAUUUGGCUACAUCACUUAACCUUUUUGUGCUUUGGAACCUCAUCAAAGACAAAGGCAGAUUGGACUUGAUUAGGAGUCACCUUCUAAAUUUCUGGAGCUCUCAUCUCUAUUUUACAAAUUCAUCCCACAAAUAGUUUUGAGGUACCUAUACUCAGGUAGUAUGUUAAUGGUACUCGUCUACCCUUUCCUUGCUGUAGGUGACACCUCAGCUGUAAGACAUGCUUCUUUCCUAAGUAUUGCAUCCCCCUUUGAAACUGCAGGGUCUUCUCUGAUAAAAUAUUCCUUUAUAAUAGCACUGCUUAGUUUCUUUGUUUGGGUAUUACCCUUCUUAGCACAUCAUAUAAUACCCUUCUUAGCACAUCAUAUAAUACCCUUCUUAGCACAUCAUAAAAUACCCUUCUUAGCACAUCAUAUAAUUCAGCUUCCGAAAUUCAUCUUCCCCUUUUCAAACUUUAACAAUAAUAGGAUUUUUAAAAAGAUUUAUUUAUUUUAGAGAAUGAGAGAGAGUGAGAGAGCAUGUGAGCAGGGGUGGAGAGAGUCUGAAGAAAAGCUGUGCUGAGCAUGAGCCCAGCGUGGGGCUCAGUCUCAUGAUCCUGAGAUCAAGACCCUGAGAUCAUGACAUGAGAUCACGACCUGGGAUCACAACCAGCUGAAACCAAGAGUUGGAUGUUUAACCAACUGAGCCAUCCAGAUGCUCCAAUAAUAGGAUCUUUUUAGUUAGGUUGAAAAACUGUAAAAAAAAUGCAAGAAAACAUUAUAGAUAGAAGGGUGUUUUAUGAUAAUAUAGCAGACUUUAGAAGAUAUCACUGAGAAAUUCUCCAUCUCUUAGGGCCUUGUAAAUGAGACUGGCUUCACACAGUGGUCUUAAAGCUGAGUUCACUGUUACAGGAAUCUGUAGUCUUCUUAACAUAUCUCCAAGCCCAUGGUUGUACAGUGCUCCCUUGAGAGGAGUUUGCUGGAAUUUCUCCAAAGUCUAAGUGCUUAAAACCCAAAUGACCUAAUGCUGUGCUUGCUUAUCUCUAGGGAAUUUUCCUUAGCAAUGUACCAGCGUGUUAGAAUGCUUAAAAGAAUAUGUUUUUAAUAUUGGUAUAAAUUGGAAACUAAGGAAAUAAGAAUACUGUAGUUAUAUUUAGUUAAGCAAUUAUUGUUGACAUCAGGGUAGGCUAUUUGAAUAGCCGUUUUAUGAAUUAUUGUUCAUUUGUCUGUCUACAUGGAAUUAAACAUGGAAAGAGGGCCUGUGCUGGACAAUUCCCCAUGUUGUAUUGUGUAUCUCUUACCAUAGCCUCUUGAUGAAUGUUCUGAUUAGUUUAUAGUUACAAGAAACUGAAGAUAAGAGAUAUUUGGGUGUUUGUCCAAGGUCAUACAGCUAGUAUGUACUGGAACAGGAAUUUAAAGCCAAGUCUGAGCAGCCCUCAAAGCCCUGAGCAGCGCGUCCACGGGAGGCUUGGUUAAUCAUGCGCCCUGUGGAGUUUGGAAAAGCAGAAGACCUAUCUCAGGGAAGGCCCUUGGUUGAGGUGUCUGCUUUCUGGAGGUGCAGGGUCCACUCCCUCAUGUCACUUGUUGGCGUGAAUAAACUUCCUUCAGUCCUGAAAAAAAAAAAAAAAAAAAAAAAAA
rnacentral:lncRNA from 1 species